GACGGGGGAUGCGAGCGUUAUCCGGAAUGAUUGGGCGUAAAGGGUCCGCAGGUGGCCCGGUCAGUCCGCUGUCAAAGCCUGGGGCUCAACCCUGGAGAGGCGGCGGAGACCACCGGGCUUGAGUCCGGUAGGGGCAGAGGGAAUUCCGGGUGUAGCGGUGGAAUGCGUAGAGAUCCGGAAGAACACCGGUGGCGAAGGCGGUCUGCUGGGCAGUUGCUGACACUGAGGCGCGACAGCGUGGGGAGCAAACGGG
rnacentral:rRNA from 1 species